rnacentral:misc_RNA from 1 species
UCGAGGCCCGAACGGAAGAUCGUGAACCCGUCAACCCACUCGUGGGGGCGGGGGGGCGUCUCGUGCGCCCUCUCCGGCCUCGUCGAGGGGCCCCUAGGUGCGCCUGCCCCGCCUCGUUGUGGGACGGGCGCGCCGAACAUGACCCGGGCGCGGUGGGCGCCAAGGAACAAUUCUUUUCGGGAGAGCGUCGUUUGCCUUUUCCUCCUUGGAGGAGGAGGCGGACGGGGCGAUCCUGCAAUAUCAUUAACU